rnacentral:rRNA from 1 species
AACGUAGGAGACGAACGUUAUCCGGAGUUACUGGGCGUAAAGGGCGUGUAGGCGGUUUGUUAAGUCUGGCGUGAAAGCUCUCGGCUAAACCGGGAGAGGUCGUUGGAUACUGGCGAACUUGAGGAUGGUAGAGGCGUGUGGAAUUCCGGGUGUAGUGGUGAAAUGCUUAGAUAUCAAGAGGAACACCUGCGGCGAAGGCGGGUUGCUGGGCCGACACUGACGCUGAGGCGCGAAAGCUAGGGGAGCGAACGGG